rnacentral:sRNA from 1 species
CCCGUCGGAGGAGUUUCUGACCCUCUGCGAUUUCACACCAGUCUCCUUGGGGAAGCACCGCCCUGGGCGUGUGCGAAGGAAUUUGAUAUGGGACACAUUUUUGCCCUGGGCCUCAAGCCCCAGAGCCACAAGAAGAGACACACAGUGUGACUUCAGAGCAGUUUUGGGGAUUUUUUUUUUUUUAUCCCCCAGGUGAUCUCUGAUAUUCCCCGCGGGAUUUUUUAAUUCUCUGAAUCGAGGAUCAGACGGAUCUGCCGGAACCCAGGCCUGGUUGUACACCUUGCGCGUGGGCGUGGUCAUCUCUUGCACAACUUAACAAGUGCACCCCUAGGGACUUGCCUUGUGGCCAUUACUGGCGUCCUGUGGGGUGGGGUGUCUGCCAUUGCUGUGCUCCAGUGCACUCCACUGUAUCUGUAAGGCUAACCUGCCCUGGAGAUAGGAAGCCCGUGGGAGCAGAGAGGAGGGACCUUGUCUGCCUCUCAGCCUUUGCUUCUGCAGCGGAAGAACUUACCUUCAAUCCCUGAUCUGCCCACUACCGAGCCUCAAGUCAGCAGCAUCAGGUGGUGGAAUGUGGUGUCCAGAAGAGAUAUCCAGUCUCCGGGUUUUUUCUAGUCAUUUCCUGGGAAGACACGGCUGAUGGAAGUCAUCUUAAGAGCAUGCAAACCAUGGACGAUAGCAAAGAUAACCAGGAGAGGGUGGUGUCAAUGCUGGUGUCAUGGUCACUGGCUUUGAGAGCAGCAGGAACUCUAACCUGCCAACUCUUAUUUCAUAAGUGCUGGAAGCGAUCCAGGUGGAUGCAUCCCGGAUGCUAAGGAAUUCCUCGGUCUGAGACAUUUUGUUGGAUUUCUACAAUGUUCAAUCCCUGGAGCCCAUAUGGAAAAGCUGAAGGCAGUGACACACAUCUACAAGUACAGCACUCCUGUGGAGAGGAUGGAGAGACAGAAAUGGAGACAGAACUGCGGAGAAGCUGAUAGAGCAGCUAACACGAAGAAUUAGAACAUCAGAAAAAGAAGGUUUUGCCCAAACAAGGUAGAAGACAAGAACUGACUCCUUAAAGCUAUGUGUCCUGACUUCCACACACAGGCAGUAGCACAAGCAUGCCUAUACAUAUGUGGGCAUGUGUGCACACAUGUGCAUGCAUGUGCACACACGGACAACAAUAAAAAGGUGGCUAUUGGCUCUUCCCUAUUUCAGAGAUAGCUGCAGUGCCAGCCGCACCUCUGAGACAUGAAGGUCAAGUUCAGAGUGAACAGAUUGGGUGGUAUUGGGUGCCUAGUCACUAGGGAUGUCUUCAACUUGGGCAAAGUGGGUACUGUUCUCAUCAAGGAUCCAUUCAUUGACUUCGGGUACACGUCAUGCAUGUUUCAGUAUGAUUCUACUCAUAGAAAUGUCUGCCACAUGGAGAAACAGGAAAUUUGUCACUAGCAGGAAAGCAACCGCAAUCUUGCAGGAGAGCGAUCUCGUCAACAUCAAAUGGGGAGCUGCUGCUACUGAGUAUGCUUUAAGUCACCAUCUCUGCAUCUUCUGCCGAUGCCCCCAUGUUUGUAAUGGGUGUGAACCAUGAGACAUAUGACUACUCAUGCAAGAUUGUUAGCAAUCCUCCUGCACCACCUACUGCUUAGGCCCCUGGCCAACAUCAUCCAUAACAAGUUUGGCAUCAUGGAGGGACUCACAAGCAGGGUCUAUGUCCCUGCCAUCACCCAGAGGACUGCAAAUAGGCCACACUUCUAAGAAACUGUGGAGGAAUGGCCAUGGGACUACCUAGAGCAUCAUCUCUGAAUCCACUGGUGCUUCCAAGGCUGUGGGCAAAGUCAUCCCAGAGCCGAACAGGAAGCUCAUUGGUGUGAUCUUUCGUAUUACUACCCCUCACGGCAGUAGAUCUGACUUGCCAUCUGCAGAAAGCUGACAAAUAUGAUGAUAGGAAGGUGGUGAAGCCAGGAUUGUCCAGCUUUCUUGAGAGCUUGUUUGGAGGUUCUAGCAGGGGAGCGCAGCUACUCGUAUACCCUUGACCGAAGACCGGUCCUCCUCUAUUCGGGGAAGGUCGUCCUCUUCGACCGAGCGCGCAGCUUCGGGAGGGACGCACAUGGAGCGGUGAGGGAGGAAGGG